rnacentral:rRNA from 1 species
AACGAACGCUGGCGGCGCGCUUAACACAUGCAAGUCGAACGAGAAGCUGUAGCAAUACAGUUGUACAGUGGCGAACGGGUGAGGAAUACAUGGGUAACCUACCCUCGAGGUGGGGAAUAACCAGCCGAAAGGCUGGCUAAUACCGCGUACGCUUCCCAAUCUGCGGGUUGGGAAGGAAAGCUCUACCGUGGGUAGAGCGCUCAAGGACGGGCUCAUGUCCUAUCAGCUUGUUGGAGGGUAA